UACGUAGGGGGCUAGCGUUGUCCGGAAUCAUUGGGCGUAAAGCGCGUGUAGGCGGUCCGGUAAGUCCGCUGUGAAAGUCGGGGGCUCAACCCUCGGAUGCCGGUGGAUACUGUCGGGCUUGAGUACGGAAGAGGCGAGUGGAAUUCCUGGUGUAGCGGUGAAAUGCGCAGAUAUCAGGAAGAACACCCGUGGCUAAGGCGGCUCUCUAGUACGGUACUGACGCUGAGACGCGAAAGCGUGGGGAGCGAUCCGG
rnacentral:rRNA from 1 species